rnacentral:rRNA from 1 species
AUAUCUCUAUCAUUGAAUGUCUUUUGAAGGAAAUUUUCUAAANGAUUUUUUAAUCAAAAUGUUAGGUCAAGGUUUAAUAAUAUAAAAGUAGAGAUGGGUUACAUUAUUUUUAUAUGAGGAAAAUUNUAUGGAAAUAUAUUUGAAUUUGGAUUUGAUAGUAAAU